UAUACACGGCUCGGUCCCAUCCGCAGUCUUAGGCAUCCCCUGGGGAUUUUGACAUGGAUCCCCCGUGGAGAAGGGGGGUUACUGUACAGUACUUCCCUUCAGCAAGCCGCAUAUUCAAGUUCUCUAUUUCAGAUUCCCCUUCGUGACUGUCAUGCAGGAAGCAAAGAAAACCCAUUGUGUCCAAGGAAAUUUUUACUUUCUCUAGGGAUUCAGAAACCUGACUUUCUGAUACUCAGAAACUCAGUCCGCAUGGGUGAGAAGGCUCGGUAGGGAAGAGGUGCUUUGUAGCUCAGGAUCUGCUGGAGCUGAGGGCAUUUUUUUGGUUUAAUCUAGUUUCACUGUGUGUUUCAUGGAGAGGUUCCUCUAGGAACAAAAGGUUCUAUGGAAGUCACGUCCUUUACCCCUCUUAGCCAUCCCUGUGUCUGCCUUAGCCAACCUCCCAUUUGUAAAAAGAAAGCAGAGACCAGGCUAUGGCUGAAUAGUUUCAGACAGCCCCUAUACCACUGUCAGCCUUUGCAAAGUGUAAUGCUUUAAUUACAAGGGUCACACAAGGUCUUAAGACACAGGAGUCCCUGUGUCUGAACGUAAUCACUGUGUAUGCGUCUCAGUCUAAUGAGGAGGUGACUAUCAUGAAGGUCUGGUGGUGAAGAUCUUGCAAGAAGGUGCCUUGUUUGAGAUCUUUCAAGGAAACACAGUACUCAAUAAACUUUGGUGUACAGUUGAGCCUUGAGCAACAUGGAUUUGAACUGCAUGGGGCCACUUAAAUGUGCAUUUUCUUGUGACUCCGCUGCCCUUGAGACAGCAAGAUGAACCCCCCUCCUCCUCAGCCAACUCAACGUGAAGACAAUGAAGAUCAAGAUCUUUAUGAUGAUCCACUUCCACUUAAUGAAUAAUAAAUAUAUUUUGUCUUUAUGAUUUUCCUAA